rnacentral:lncRNA from 1 species
UGAAAUGGGAUUGACUGGGAUGAAGUGGAAUGGACACUGGAAUGAACUGGGAUGGGCUGGGAUAAACUGGGAGAAACUGGGAUGAACUGGGGUAGAUUGGGACAAACUGGGAUGGAGUGGAGUGAAAUGGGAUGGGCUGGGAUGGACUGGAAUGAAAUGGGAUGGAAUGGGAUGGACUGGGAUGAAAUGGGAUGGACUGGGUUGAACGGGGAUGAAAUGGGAUGGACUGGAAUGAAAUGGGAUGGAAUGGGAUGGGCUGGGAUGGACUGGGGUGAAUGAGGAUGAAGUGGGAUGGACUGGGAUGAACUGGGAUGAAAUGAGAUGGACUGGGAUGAACUGGGAUGGACUGGGAUGGACUCCCCCCCUUUCCCCCCCCACCUCUCCAGGUGCUGCCUCUGACUGCGACUCAGGAUCCCGCCUGAGCCCGCUGAUGGCCGGGGUGGAUCCAUGCAAGGAACCCGCGGGAUUCCUCAGCCCCCAGUCGGGGUGGGGGGACACAGGGGGACCCUCCGGAGGCCACCCUGGAUCCUAUGGGAGCAGCUCGGGAUCCUAUGGGGCCGGAUCGGGAUCCUAUGGGGGCGGAUCAGGAUCCUAUGGCAGACAGGAAUCCUAUGGGGGUGGAUCGGGAUCCUACGGGAGCAGCUCAGGAUCCUAUGGGGCCAGACCGGGAUCCUACAGUGGAUCGGGAUCCCAUAGCAGUGGAUCAGGAUCCUACGGUGGACCGGGAUCCUAUGGGGGCGGAUCGGGAGCGUCCCCGGGACGAGGAAGCGGAUCGGGAUCCUAUGUGUCACCGGAAUCCAGUGGAGGCAAACCGGGAUACUACGGAAGUCGACCGGGAUCCCAAGGGGAUGGAUCGGGAUCUUUCGUCUCGCCGGGAUCUGGUGGGCCACCAGGAUCCUAUGGACUUCUGCCCUAUGGAUUGGAGAGACCUCAAGGGGGAAGUGGGUCGGGAUCGGGAAGACCUGGAUCCCAAGGGGGAAGUGGAUCAGGAUCUGGAAGACCUGGAUCCCAAGGAGGAUCGGGAUCAGGAAGACCUGGAUCCCAAGGGGGAAUUGGAUCAGGAUCAGGGAGACCUGGAUCCCAAGGAGGAUUGGGAUCAGGAGGACCUGGAUCCCAAGGAGGAUCAGGAUCAGGAUCGGGAAGACCUGGAUCCCAAGG